GAAAGUAUAGCUUAGUGGUAGAUCACAUGCCUGGCAUGCACGAGGUCCUGGGUUCAAUCCCCAGUGCCUCCA
rnacentral:tRNA from 1 species